GCAGGUUCCACAAUGCCCAAGACGAAGACAGUCAUCAGACACAGAGGCUACAUCCCAAAUGGCACCCUAAAUCCCUGGAUUAGUGAACUACUUUUGACCAGCCCGGGAGUUACAUUAUAUAGGGAUUAGCAUGUUAUUAGAGACUCCUCCAGAGAUGGUCAUCAGUCAGUCUGCUUCUGAAGACGAACGGGCCCGUGCACAACGUCAUACACCCCUUGAUACCUAACUCACCUAGCUUCAAACCAAGGCCUUUUUUUCUUUUUUUUGGACUAAACUAUUGUUAAUGUAAAUAUCUAUAUAUAAUUUCAGAAGAAUGCUUAUUUUGUGUCAUAUUUUUUUUUUAUAAAGGUGAAUAUUGAGCAAUACUAUUUGAACUUCUGGGAACUUUGUUGCAAUCUGCUGGAUUGGCAUUGCUAACUAUUUUAGGGAUUGAAUAUUAUUUUCAAGGUUUGUAACACAUGAUUCAUUUACAUGAACAUGAAUGAAAAAAAAACAGCCUCUUAUUUAAGACAAAUUUUAUACCUUUGAGAGAAAAAAUGUGUAAAUUUAUUGCAUCAUUGUUAGAGUAAAUAAAUCAUUAUAUUCACAAGUGUUUGGUCUCUGUAGUGUUCUGUAAUGGGGUUAUGAUGUCAGCUUAUACAGAGGUAGGAGUAUGAUGUCAUCUUAUACAGAGGUAGGAGUAACAGUGGCCCUGUCGCCAAUAGCACCCUUUUCCCUAUGGGACCUGGUCAAAAAUAGUGCACCGUAAAGGGAUUAGGGUGCCAUUUCAGACACAUUCAAUAUGAUCAACUAACAGGAGUUAUGAUGAGAGGGACGAUAUGAAAUUGGAAAU
ensembl:lncRNA